rnacentral:lncRNA from 1 species
UAUAAUUUUAAUAACUGCACAAGGUGGAAAUUUUUUCAAAAAGCAAAAAUUGUGUGCAGGCAGACAAAGACUUAAGAUCCCAGCACACAUGGGUCAAAUCAUAAGUGAUUUAUAGUAUGAUAUUUUUAUGAUUAUGGGUUUGAAAAAGCAAAUAUUUAAGCAUCUAUACAUGCUGCUUUGCAAAGUCUAUUGUACAUCUAUAUCCUGAACAAGCAGGUGAUAUUGCUUAUCAAUGCAAACUGUUGUGGAUUAAUUUCACCCCUGAGGGAUAUCCAUGUAUAUUUUGGAGCAAAGAUGCAUUUCAGCAUGCUCCUGGCACAAAGGUUGAACUGUGAAAAGUGAUGGGAGAUACUUACUCUCCUGGUUUAGGGUUCAAGCUCAAAUGAAGAAGUAAGCAAAGUGAUUACAGAUUCCAUAAAUAUCUGUGCACAACUGUCUAUUCCAAACAGCUUGGAAUAGCAGGGCUUUUAACAGCAAUGCAAGGGCUGAAAUGCAUAGCUCAUGGCUUACAUGCAAGCUAUGGUGAAAAGAGCUCAAGGGAAUUCAUGAGCCCCAAGGUUCAAAAAACUGAAAGUAUAUAUGUUCUGUCACUUUCUAACUCUCUAAGACCCAAUGAGGCUUUCAUUUGGGGUCGAGGUCUUGUUUAUAUGUUCACAGAUAAUGAAAACAUCUGGUCACCCACGUCAUGCUUCAUGCCAGCUGAUACAGACCAGGAAGAGAAGCAGACGGAAGGUGAUGGCAUCAGCUACCUACAUGCCAGCCACAAUCCAGACUCGCUGGAAGGACACUUCUUUGGUGACUAAUAUCACUCCAGAACAAUGACAUUACACUAUUAGAGACAUUGGCUAUUAGGCCACUGACGGACACUUGUCAUGCUGUAUUUGAGAUGGGGUACCCAGAGCAACAUCAAGUAUGCUAACUCAGAAGGACAAAAUCACACUUGUGUCUGUACAAGACACCAGAUACAUCCCACAUUCCAAAGACUUUGCGAUGGGAUUGAGAUGAAAUAGCUACAAAUUGUCUAGCUACUAAUGUAUACCUUGUAUUUUGUAUAUGAUACUGUCAAAAGAAAUGUAUAUUGUAUGCAUUGUAAAUCCACCACUUGUAUUGUAAGAAAUGCUGUUAUCAACAAGGGUAUAGACCUUGGUAUGAUUCUCCAAAGAAGUAGGAGAUAGAAAACUUUCAUUCAUAGCAUAGAUCUGAUACCUCUGACAUCAAAAAUGAGGUGCUAAGCAGAAAAUGAUGCACAGACAGGUUUAAUGGACAGAUGACACUGAUGUUACUCUCGAGAAAGGAUGAGAGAUCAGGGAAAAGACACUAGGAAAUCUUUAAUCAGGAACCUGAGUUAUUGUAAGAGAUCAUUGACAUCCAGGCAAAGAUUAUGUUCCUGACAUUACAUUAAGGGCUGACUACCAUAGCAGUAGUUGAGUGUUAAUACCAUUGUUAACCAUUACUCCUGAUACCCUGCCUUUGUGGGUACUAUCUUAAUAGGAAAAAUGUCUUGCUCUCCUCCAACAGUCCCAGAAUUCAGACGGCCGCUGGAUUCGGGAUCUAUUGGCUUCCCUUUCAUAUACUGGAAGACGUUCUGGUAUAUGGAAGUAAGACCUCAGGAGCAAAUUGAAGAUUCUAGGUUUGACAAUUUCUGUGGACGCACAGUCAUUGUCUCUCCUAGGUGGAAAAAAUUAUUAUUGCACAAAAACAUGGAGCAAGGGCAAAGUAUAAUCUAAGUUUUACUGUUUUGGAGUAUGGAUUAAAAACAUGACACAAUAGGCACAGAUAAGCUUGUAGAAAAAGCACAUUGAA